UUAGGCCUACGGGGCGCAGCAGUGGGGAAUAUUGCACAAUGGGGGAAACCCUGAUGCAGCGACGCCGCGUGAGUGAAGAAGUAUUUCGGUACGUAAAGCUCUAUCAGCAGGGAAGAAAAAAAGUCCUUUGGACUUUGGACGGUACCUGACUAAGAAGCCCCGGCUAACUACGUGCCAGCAGCCGCGGUAAUACGUAGGGGGCAAGCGUUAUCCGGAUUUACUGGGUGUAAAGGGAGCGUAGACGGCAGCGCAAGUCUGGAGUGAAAUGCCUGG
rnacentral:rRNA from 1 species